rnacentral:SRP_RNA from 1 species
UGACGCGGCGGCUAGCGCUGCAGCGGGAGCUAUGGUACCUGAACGAGCUACGGCGGAGGUUGGACGAGGCGGGCGCGAGGUGCGAGAAGCAGCGGACCGGCGCAGGGGUGAUAACCAGCGGGCCACAGGCGGAGC